ACUGCAGCUGGAUCAUUACA
rnacentral:rRNA from 1 species